rnacentral:rRNA from 1 species
AUGGAUGCCCUGUAUACUCCCAUCGCAGGAGAAACCCCCAAGACUCGUGCCUUGGAGGAGGCACGUUUGGCCAAUUUGGCCGAACGCGCUCGCCUGGAGAAUCUUCAGCGAGCACUCGACGAGCGCGCGCGGCAACGAGUUCCCGACGCCAAUCGACGUCAACUCUUCCCGCCGACUCAGGUAUAUCGAACCCCAAUCCAGAAUUUAGCAGCUGCGACCCGUAUAGCAGAGUCCAUUCAGCCCUCUCAGUCGGAAGCUGGCAGAGGCUUGAUGCAGAUCAGGGAUCUGCUCCGGGCAGCAGGAGAUCAGAAUUCAGCCAUGUCGCAGUCGCGCAACAGAAUUCAUAGUCGAUCCGUCACUGCGAAUACGGUUCAGUCGGCUCACAGCCCCAGAUCGCCUCCGCGGCGUGAAGGGCGCGAGAAUCGGCGAGACCAAUAUGGAGACCGACACGACCGAGAUGAUAGGCGUCGAGUGCCCAAUUCCCCUCUGAGGGGUGGGUCUUACGCCCCUCGGCAGCAAGAUGACAGACGUCAGCUCAGUGCGGGGCGAAGAGUUCCAGUCGACCCCAGAGAACCAGGCUUCGAUGCGCGAUCCAUUAUCGUGCAAGGCUUGGUCGACCGGAACAGAGCCCAUCAAGGUGGACUCGACAGAGAUGCGCCUACGAGCAGUCGAGUGCACAUUUCUGGUCCGGAAUGUUUCAGCAGAGCUAUCAGAGCCGCAGUGAUUCCUCCCAAUUUCAGGUUGGCAACAGGAGUCAGCAAGUUCACGGGUGAGUCUAAGCCUGAAACUUGGCUUGAGGACUACCGAGUGGCAGUUCAGAUUGGUGGUGGGAAUGACGAGGUGGCCAUGAAGCAUUUUCCCCUCAUGUUGGAAGGUUCUGCCAGAGCGUGGUUGAAUCAGUUACCUCCUAGCAGCAUUUACACUUGGGAAGAUCUGUCCCGAGUGUUCGUCAGAACGUUUGAAGGAACUUGUAAGCGACCGGCUGGAUUGACGGAGCUGCAAGUCUGCGUGCAGAAGACCAAUGAGACUCUCAGGGAGUAUAUUCAGAGAUGGAUCACUUUGCACCAUACUGUGGAGAAUGUGUCUGAUCAUCAGGCAGUCUGCGCCUUCAAGGAUGGUGUCAAGAAUAGAGAAUUGAGUUUGAAAUUUGGUCGAACCGGUGACAUGACCUUGAGUCGGAUGAUGGAAAUUGCUACCAAGUACGCCAACGGCGAAGAAGAAGACCGACUCCGAAGCGGCAAGCACAAGCCGAGCCAGUCGGAGAAGGGAAACACCAGUCGGAAACAGAAGCGGAAGGCUGAACCGGCAGCUCCUGGAGAGGCUUUGGCCGUGGCUCAUGGAAAGUUUAAGGGGAAACCAAAAGGAUCCUGGAACCCUAAGAAG